GGCGAACGCUGGCGGCGUGCUUAACACAUGCAAGUCGAACGGAAAGGCCCUGCUUGCAGGGUACUCGAGUGGCGAACGGGUGAGUAACACGUGGGUGAUCUGCCCUGCACUUCGGGAUAAGCCUGGGAAACUGGGUCUAAUACCGGAUAGGAGCCAUUUUUAGUGUGAUGGUUGGAAAGUUUUUUCGGUGUAGGAUGAGCUCGCGGCCUAUCAGCUUGUUGGUGGGGUAAUGGCCUACCAAGGCGGCGACGGGUAGCCGGCCUGAGAGGGUGGACGGCCACAUUGGGACUGAGAUACGGCCCAGACUCCUACGGGAGGCAGCAGUGGGGAAUAUUGCACAAUGGGCGCAUGCCUGAUGCAGCGACGCCGCGUGGGGGAUGACGGCCUUCGGGUUGUAAACUCCUUUCGCUAGGGACGAAGCUUUUUGUGACGGUACCUAGAUAAGAAGCACCGGCUAACUACGUG
rnacentral:rRNA from 1 species